CCUACGGGCGGCAGCAGUGGGGAAUAUUGGACAAUGGGCGAAAGCCUGAUCCAGCCAUGCCGCGUGUGUGAAGAAGGCCUUCGGGUUGUAAAGCACUUUCAGUGGGGAAGAAAGCCUUGGGGCUAAUACCCUCGAGGAAGGACAUCACCCACAGAAGAAGCACCGGCUAACUCCGUGCCAGCAGCCGCGGUAAUACGGAGGGUGCGAGCGUUAAUCGGAAUUACUGGGCGUAAAGCGCGCGUAGGCGGUCUGAUAAGCCGGUUGUGAAAGCCCCGGGCUCAACCUGGGAACGGCAUCCGGAACUGUCAGGCUAGAGUGCAGGAGAGGAAGGUAGAAUUCCCGGUGUAGCGGUGAAUGCGUAGAGAUCGGGAGGAAUACCAGUGGCGAAGGCGGCCUUCUGGACUGACACUGACGCUGAGGUGCGAAAGCGUGGGUAGCAAACAGGAUUAGAUACCCGUGUAGUC
rnacentral:rRNA from 1 species